rnacentral:hammerhead_ribozyme from 1 species
AUCCAGCUGACGAAUCCCGAAUAGGACGAAAUGUGCAUCCUGGAU